AUUGAACGCUGGCGGCAGGCCUAACACAUGCAAGUCGAACGGGUGGCGUGCGGGUGAGUAAGGUCUGGGAAACGGCCUGGGGGAUGGGGAUAGGUACUGGACACGGUAGCUAAUACCGCAUACCAGCGCAUGUGCCCAGAUGGGAUUAGCUAGUUGGUGGGGUAACGGCUCACAAAGGCGACGAUCCCUAGCUGGUCUGAGAGGAUGACCAGCCACACUGGAACUGAGACACGGUCCAGACUCCUACGGGAGGCAGCAGUGGGGAAUAUUGCACCAUGGGCGAAAGCCUGAUGCAGCCAUGCCGCGUGUAUGAAGAAGGUCUUCGGGUUGUAAAGUACUUUCAGUGGGGAGGCGUUACCCGCAGAAGAAGCACCGGCUAACUCCGUGCCAGCAGCCGCGGUAAUAC
rnacentral:rRNA from 1 species